UCAACUUCUACCGCUCCUUUACACAUGGUCACUUCCACAACAUCUACCAGUCCCACUACUACAGUUCUUUUACAACCAGGCCCGUACACAACAUCUACUAGUUCUACUUCUACAGGUGGGAAUAAUUCUAGACUGAAUGUGACCACUUAAAAGAAAGCCUCCAAUUAUUUUCUUUUCUACUUCAUCAUCUGAGUCUGAUUUAACAUCUUUUCCAUCUGUUAUUUUUAUUUUUUUAGUUUCUUCACAGCCUGUAACUUCCACAGCAUCUACUAGUUCAACUUCUACAGGUGAGGAUAAUUCUAGACUGAAUGUGGCUUCUUAAAAGAAAUUCCUCUUGAUGAUUUUCUUCAUGAAGAAGACAGUAGUUCAUUCCCAGUCAACACGUGAGAUCACGCGAUGAUCACAGUGACAUCACGCCAUUCUCAUACGGUGAUACUCACAGUGUGAGUAAUAUAUGAGCUCAUUGUGAACUCAAAAAGAUGAGCGGGGUUCUUAUUUCUGUCAGACGUCUACAAAAGCGCUUAUUGAGAAUUAACAGAUUUAGAUGAUGAUGUUUUAUUGUUUUGUUUGACGUUA